UGGGGGAUAUUGCACAAUGGGCGAAAGCCUGAUGCAGCGACGCCGCGUGGGGGAUGAAGGCCUUCGGGUUGUAAACUUCUUUUGCUCUGAACAAGGCAUGCCUUUGGGGUGUGUUGAGUGUAGGGGUUGAUUAGCGCCGGCUAACUACGUGCCAGCAGCCGCGGUAAUACGUAGGGCGCGAGCGUUGUCCGGAAUUAUUGGGCGUAAAGGGCUUGUAGGUGGCUGGUUGCGUCUGUCGUGAAAGCUCAUGGCUUAACUGUGGGUUUGCGGUGGGUACGGGCUGUCUUGAGUGCAGUAGGGGAGGCUGGAAUUCCUGGUGUAGCGGUGGAAUGCGCAGAUAUCAGGAGGAAUACCGGUGGCGAAGGCGGGUCUCUGGGCUGUUACUGACGCUGAGGAGCGAAAGCGUGGGGAGCGAACAGG
rnacentral:rRNA from 1 species